CAGUAUUGAAUUCAUCGGCGAAAAAAAAAAAAGCUCAUAACUUACGAACUAUGUAACAUAGAGACUUCGUACUAGGCUUAAAAGAAGCGCAUUGAAAAACACUAUCGCCCGCAUCAUAGAGCUGUGAGUCGGUUAAUAACCGGUUAAUAACAGGCGGUUAAAAUUUUUUUGGUUUUUAAUCAAAAAAGGGAGGAGCCUGCUCACGAAAAGCUGCGCGUACUUCAUACUGCGUAUGUAUUAUUUAUUAAUUUUCAACAAUAAAAAUAUUAAUUUAUUAUAAAUAACAUUAACAUUAAAUAUUAUUUAUUUGAUGUCAAAAAAAUAUGAAUAAUUAAAUUAUGUUAUCAAAAAUUCAAUCGUAGUGUCAAUUGAAAAGUUUAUGAAUAAAAAAAGACAGUGAAAAAGUUGAUGGGUAUGCCAUAUUCAGUCCAGAGAGACUUGAUUAUUGUAAAAAGGAAAAGUGAGGUUAAACCCAGAGUUGACAGUCUACAUUUUUGUUGUUGAUAUGUCAUAUAUAUACCAAUUUUAACAAUAAGUCGUUCUGAAUCUGAGGUUUGGAAACAUUUUAAUGUUGUUGCAAAUCCUGAAUGCAAAUACAAGACAGGAAGUUUUAAAUAUUGUGAAAAAAAAUAUGUUUCAAAUGCUGGUAGAAUGAUGAAGCAUCUUGCUCAAGAAUGUCAAAUUGUGAUGAUGAAAUUUAAACAAAUUUUAUGGAAAUGAUUGUGCCAAAAAAUAAACUUGAUGUCAGACAAUCAUCUGAGCAAGUUGUAGCACUAAUUACAAAGAACAAAACAACUUAAAACAAAGGCUCAAUUGACAAGUUAAAAGUUUAUUGGUACCCUAGCGAAAAUGCCGAUAGUCGGAUUGUGCACUGAUCUCAUACAAAAACGAUACAAAAACGACACACGACUAUAAGAAUUUCUAA